rnacentral:ncRNA from 2 species
AUAAAGAUAACCCGGCCAGGUGCCCGUCUAGGGAGAAUAGGGAAUUGGGUGUGAAUCCCAAGCGGUCCCGCCACUGUAACCGGGGAGCGAACCUAAAAGAAGGCCACUGUUCCUUAACCCGGAGGGUAGAAGUUUAGCUACCGGGGAAGGGGGAUGGGAAGGCGCAGGGGAGCAAGGAUCCGGGAGCCAGGAGACCUGCCUGGUCGUAAGGAGUACA